rnacentral:rRNA from 1 species
AGCAGCCGCGGUAAUUCCAGCUCCAAUAGCGUAUAUUAAAGUUGUUGCAGUUAAAAAGCUCGUAGUUGAAUUUCGGGAUCAGUACGCCGGUCGUGCCUUCGGUAUGUACUGACGUUACUGAUUUCUACCUUCUGACGAACCGUCAUGCCAUUAAUUUGGUGUGGCGGGGAAUCAGGACUGUUACUUUGAAAAAAUUAGAGUGUUUAAAGCAGGCUCGCGCUUGAAUACAUUAGCAUGGAAUAAUGAAAUAGGACGUUUGAUCUUAUUUUGUUGGUUUCUAGGAUCGACGUAAUGAUUAAUAGGGAUAGUUGGGGGCAUUAGUAUUCAAUUGUCAGAGGUGAAAUUCUUGGAUUUAUUGAAGACUAACUACUGCGAAAGCAUUUGCCAAGGAUGUUUUCAUUAAUCAAGAACGAAAGUUAGGGGAUCGAAGACGAUCAGAUACCGUCGUAG